rnacentral:ncRNA from 1 species
UUACACAUGCAAGCAUCCGCAUCCCUGUGAGAAUGCCCAAUAGUCCCCUUUCCUGGGACAAGGAGCAGGUAUCAGGCACACUCCAAUGUAGCCCACUACGCCUUGCUUAGCCACACCCCCAAGGGACAACAGCAGUGAUAAACAUUAAGCCAUGAGCGAAAGCUUGACUUAGUUAAGGCUAGUCUUAGGGCCGGUAAAACUCGUGCCAGCCACCGCGGUUAUACGAGAGGCCCGAGAUGACAGACCCUCGGCGUAAAGAGUGGUUAGAUUUGAUUGUAACUAUAGCCGAACUUUCUCAAAACUGUUAUACGCCCUUGAGGAAAGGAAUUUCUUCUACGAAAGUGGCUUUAUUCCAUUGAACCCACGAAAGCUAAGGCACAAACUGGGAUUAGAUACCCCACUAUGCUUAGCCUUAAACACAGAUGCCCCAUUUACACAUAUCAUCCGCCUGGGAACUACGAGCACUAGCUUGAAACCCAAAGGACUUGGCGGUGCUUAAUAACCCCCUAGAGGAGCCUGUUCUAGAACCGAUAACCCUCGUUAAACCUCACCCUUUCUUGCUUAUUCCGCCUAUAUACCGCCGUCGUCAGCUUACCCUAUGAAGGUAAAAUAGUAAGCAAAACUAGUACAACUUAAAACGUCAGGUCGAGGUGUAGCGAAUGAAAGGGGAAGAAAUGGGCUACAUUUCCUGUAAGCAGGAAAGACGAAAAGUGUAAUGAAACUCACACUAGAAGGAGGAUUUAGUAGUAAGAAGGGAAUAGAGCGCCCUUCUGAAAACGGCCCUUAAGCGCGCACACACCGCCCGUCACUCUCCCCAAGCUGGCAAAAAAUUUUCCUAAAAAACUAAAACAGUAAAGGGGAGGCAAGUCGUAACAUGGUAAGCAUACCGGAAGGUGUGCUUGGAAAAAC